AGAACGAACGCUGGCGGCAUGCCCUAACACAUGCAAGUCGAACGAGACCUUCGGGUCUAGUGGCGCACGGGUGCGUAACGCGUGGGAAUCUGCCUUGGGUUCGGAAUAACAGUUAGAAAUGACUGCUAAUACCGGAUAAUGUCUUCGGACCAAAGAUUUAUCGCCCAGGGAUGAGCCCGCGUAGGAUUAGCUAGUUGGUGAGGUAAAGGCUCACCAAGGCGACGAUCCUUAGCUGGUCUGAGAGGAUGAUCAGCCACACUGGGACUGAGACACGGCCCAGACUCCUACGGGAGGCAGCAGUGGGGAAUAUUGGACAAUGGGCGAAAGCCUGAUCCAGCAAUGCCGCGUGAGUGAUGAAGGCCUUAGGGUUGUGAAGCUCUUUUACCCGGGAUGAUAAUGACAGUACCGGGAGAAUAAGCCCCGGCUAACUCCGUG
rnacentral:rRNA from 1 species